rnacentral:sRNA from 12 species
GCGCGUGACCCGCUAUGGCGGGCACGGCCGACCAUUGCAGCAUCGAAUGUGGUCAGCCCACGCUUCCUGCUUCGGCAAACACUCUACUGGGUUCGGAGAGCGGCGAGUAGUGAGACAUCGAAAGCCGCGCCGAC